rnacentral:rRNA from 1 species
GAUGAACGCUGGCGGCGUGCCUAAUACAUGCAAGUCGAGCGAACAGAUGAGGAGCUUGCUCCUCUGACGUUAGCGGCGGACGGGUGAGUAACACGUGGAUAACCUACCUAUAAGACUGGGAUAACUUCGGGAAACCGGAGCUAAUACCGGAUAAUAUAUUGAACCGCAUGGUUCAAUAGUGAAAGACGGUUUUGCUGUCACUUAUAGAUGGAUCCGCGCCGCAUUAGCUAGUUGGUAAGGUAACGGCUUACCAAGGCAACGAUGCGUAGCCGACCUGAGAGGGUGAUCGGCCACACUGGAACUGAGACACGGUCCAGACUCCUACGGGAGGCAGCAGUAGGGAAUCUUCCGCAAUGGGCGAAAGCCUGACGGAGCAACGCCGCGUGAGUGAUGAAGGUCUUCGGAUCGUAAAACGCUGUUAUUAGGGAGAACAAAUGUGUAAGUAACUAUGCACGUCUUGACGGUACCUAAUCAGAAAGCCACGGCUAACUACGUG